GAUGAACGCUGGCGGCGUGCUUAACACAUGCAAGUCGAACGAUUAAGACCCCUUCGGGGGUGUAUAGAGUGGCGAACGGGUGAGUAACACGUGGGCAACCUGCCCCUUCCUCUGGGAUAACACGGAGAAAUCCGUGCUAAUACCGGAUACUCCACAUCUGCGGCAUCGCGGAUAUGGGAAAGCUCCGACGGGAAGGGAUGGGCCCGCGGUCCAUUAGCUAGUCGGUGGGGUAACGGCCUACCGAGGCGACGAUGGAUAGCCGGGUUGAGAGACCGACCGGCCACAUUGGGACUGAGACACGGCCCAGACGCCUACGGGAGGCAGCAGUGGGGAAUUUUGCGCAAUGGGGGAAACCCUGACGCAGCAACGCCGCGUGCGGGAUGAAGGCCUUCGGGUUGUAAACCGCUUUCAGCAGGGAAGAAUACAGACGGUACCUGCAGAAGAAGCUCCGGCUAACUACGUGCCAGCCGCCGCCGUAA
rnacentral:rRNA from 1 species